rnacentral:rRNA from 1 species
GGGAUAACUCCGGGAAACCGGGGCUAAUACCGAAUAAUUAGUUCCUUCGCAUGAAGGAACUCUGAAAGACGGCUAUGCUGUCACUACRGGAUGGGCCCGCGGCGCAUUAGCUAGUUGGUGAGGUAACGGCUUACCAAGGCGACGAUGCGUAGCCGACCUGAGAGGGUGAUCGGCCACACUGGGACUGAGACACGGCCCAGACUCCUACGGGAGGCAGCAGUAGGGAAUCUUCCACAAUGGACGAAAGUCUGAUGGAGCAACGCCGCGUGAGCGAAGAAGGUUUUCGGAUCGUAAAGCUCUGUUGUGAGGGAAGAACAAGUAYAGGAGUAACUGCCUGUACCUUGACGGUACCUCAUUAGAAAGCCACGGCUAACUACGUGCCA